AGCACUCAUACCGUCCAAAAUCACUCUUAUUAAACUCGUUUUCACGGUAAAUAAACCACCGAGGAUUAGGAAAGGUUUUUUCUAAACCUCAGCAACAGAAAUCAUCAUAAGCACACAUCUCACUGUUCCUCGUACAUAUCUUCGAUGGCACUUCAGCAAAAAACAACAUCGACCCUCGAUCUCGUUCCUCUUCUCGCCGUCAUGCUCAUAGCCGCUCAUGUUCUCGCACUGGUUUAUUGGGUUUACAGAUUAGCUACUGAGAGACAGCAGGUUCCGAGGAAAAAGAAGCACUAAUGUUACAUGUAUUUUUAAAGGCCCUAUAGGUUAAUCCCUAGUUUUGCCUAUUUUGUGCAUUGUUUUGGUAUGUGUAAGCCUUAAUAGUUUUUUUUUAAUUAUUAUUUUGAUGUUAUUGAUGUAUAAGUUAAAACUAUGUGAUUGUUAAGCAUUUUGGUAAAAAGUUGAAAAGUUAUUGGGAAUUGUAGGUGUUCAUCAUUGCAGAGGGAAAAAUUGAGAAAAAUAUACGCAAAUUAUAUCGAUCCUCUCUUUAUGAAUUAUGAUUGGAGGUACUGAAGUAGAUUAUUACUAGUAGUAUAUGUUGGAUAUCUUUUUUCUCUUAGCAUUUUCCUAUAUUUAUCGAUUUUUGGUUGUGCUCUUUUUGGGCUGUUAUAAGGGGUACUUGAUAUAUCUUUUGCUGUUUUUAAUUAUAGUUUUUGUGGAACUAAGAGUGAAGUCAGAGAAAUGUUUGUUUCAGGAUGUCUUUCAUAUUUGCAAUUGGUAUUGUAUUUUCCUUGUGUAAUUGUCUAAUAUGUGCUAGCCUUCUGCCCUCCGUUCAAAUUUUUAUCCUCGCUCAUUUUCGUUUAAACUAGACGUAGUUCAUACUCUUAAUCAAAACAAGGCAAGAUGAUGCAAAUUAAGUUGUAUUUACCAGAAUACAUGAAAAGUUUAAUUUCUCAAUCAAACAAAAUAUUGGGAACAAGAAACAAUUAAUUGAUGCUAUAGGUGACACCCCUAUCUAUGGACUAUAGUACACCAGAAUUUUUUUUAUCCAACAUUCGUGUUUUUUAAGUUGGUUGAAACAACAAAACAUUAAAUAUGUAGCCAUUGCACAUAUGUUUUCAGUUUAGGAAGUGGGUAAUCCUUGGCUCUUAGAGUGCCUUUUGUGCUUUCCCGUCAUUGUUGAUAGUCUUUUGUUUUAUACUCCUUCCGUCCCUAAUUACAUGUCUAUUUUGGUUUUCAAGGAGUCAAAAUAUACUUUCUAAUGAUAUAAUUUUUAUUAUUAUUUUUUAAUUAUAUGGUACAUGUAAAUUUCAGUCAAAGUAUAGUCAAUUUGACUAGUCAAAAGUCAAAAUGGACAUGUAUUUAGGGACGGAGGUAGUAUUCUUUUGACCAUAGGUUGCUUCAUUCUUUUUUCUAGAUUUUGUCAUUGUAUUGUGGUAUACCUAUCGAAUUCCCAAUGGCUACCUGUGUUAAACAGUUUACUGGAUCUAGUAUGCAAUAUGCUUAACAACUUAAGUAAAUAUAGGUCUAUGGUUUACGAUUUACCCAUUACCCAUUGUAUGAAGAAGCUUGAUCAUGUGAAGUUUUGUGUUCGGCUUAGCUGUCAUAUGACCAUGCUGUGGGUUGUGCAAUUUCUUUCUGACUGUUGGUCAUUUUGCAUCUUUAAUUGUAGAAGGAAAGAAGGUUACAGACUCAGAUUGUUGUUCUCCUCUGUAUAGACUUCCUAUAGUUAAUUCGUUAUACUUGUAACACUUAUACUAUACCGUACUGCACUACACACCAUACAUACUAUCUGAAAAUGUAUCAUACUUUAUUUGUCGAGGAUAGGUGAAUAAUAGUAGUUAUCAGGGUCAGCCGUAGAAUAUUGAAUCAUCUAUAUUUCAUAGGAGUACCUCAGCAACAUGUUUUAUUAAUUGUAUCUGCAGGAUAGCUUACUAGUUGCAAGUCUUGCCAUUGCAUGUACUUCUGUGGGUUCCUUGCAUAUAAUAUACACACAUAUGUACUUGCCAAAGUUUUUCUCAUGUUAUGUAUUAUGCAUGCUGAUAGGUAUUUUAGCUUUAUUGAUUAAUGAAAGUAUAUCAAUAUAGAUAAAUGAUAAAUUUUUAACAUGAUUUCUUUUCUCAGCCUAACUUUAGCAGUAGAUCAGUCUUGGAAACUAGAUAUAAAAAGAAUAAGAUAUUUUUCAUUACAGUAUCACUUAACUGCCAAGUAAUAUGAUAUUUGGUGGACUCGGGUAACUGGGUAAGACUCAUCAUUAUUGACCAAAUGAUAAAUAUGAUGACUUGAUUACUAUUUGUGUAUAUGUGUGUUCAAUGAGUUAAGUUUUAUCCCUUGUUCCAACCUUUUCUUUAAGAUCGUCAAGCAUCAAUUCACAAAGCCCCCAACUCCCUGCCUCCGCAAAACACACACACACACACACUAUUAUUUGUUAAUGCACAUAAUAAUUAAAUUGAAGCUUUAUAUUGUUGACGAAAUUCCUGCAUGAAUAAAUGUGGGACAAGAUUCUUAUAUAUCUCCCUUUAGAUUCCCGUUGACCUUGUCAAGUUUAAACAAAUUAAUUACUAGGCCUAGAUCACAGCCUCUCUAGCCAUCAUAGUUAAAAAGUAAUAACGCCAAUUAUGUUUUGUGUCUCUACCUUAAACCCAACGUAACCGGAUGGUACUUCGGAGUCCAAACUUUUGGGGUUAUCAAAUUCCCUGACUAAACUGAAUUUUGGGUACAACUAGAGCCCUCUACCAGAAGAAGUCCGAGGUCACUUAUUUUAAUAAGGUGUACUUGGGUAAUUUACAAAGUCCAUCUUAUAUUAUAAUUUGUUGGUGCGCUUAGUAAUCGAACUUAUAUAUAUAUUCUCGACAGACUGCCCAAACAUGUUCUGAUGCAAGAUUUGGAGGUUAAAAAAUUGAUUACCUUCACCUUUGGAUAUAUAAGAAUUUGUAGACUACUAUGUCAUUAACAAUUCAAAUUUAUGUGGCAAGACACCUAGGCCAUGUUUGUUUCAAGGGAUUAUAAUAUCCGGAAAACUACAUUAUUUUUUCUAAAUUCAAAGGAUUAUAAUUUAUAAUCCCAUAUAUUUAUGGAAAUCAUCUUUCUGAUUCAUUUCUAUGGGAUCUUAAUACCUUGUGAGAGAAUGUGUUAUAAUCCCAUGGAAAUGACCUAACAAUGAUUGAAAAAUGAAUUCACCGGAUUCUUUUACGUGUGAAAUAAGAAAAGGUAAUAAUCCGGAAAUUAUAAUCCCUUGAAACAAACAUGGCCCUAGAUUAUUAUCUGGUACUGUGGUUCAUGUCACCAAAUGUCUUUUCUCAUCUUUUUACACCUCAAAUAGUGGUGCCUUUAUGUUUUUUGGUGAUUUUGGUUGUCCGAAGAUAUAGAUACACACAUUUGUGUAAUUUAUUCCUUGUUCAAAAGUCUCAUUGCCAAAUAUUUGUGAUAUGCUGUUUUCAUUGACUUGGUACUUUCACCUUGUAAUAAUAGCAUCCCUGCCUUUUAAUUGAACACAUGAAAGAUUGACAAUACUAACAUUCACAUUAAAGUUCUUGGCUAAUGAAUGGUACCCUUUACCACAGAGGAAAAACUCAUGACCAUCCUUUCAUUUUGCUGCUUUACAAACUUAUAAUUUUUGAGAUUUGGUCUUGGCGUUAUGCAGAGUGCUUUUCUUGUUUUUCUUUUAGCUUUGGAACUUGGAAGAAUGUGGCUGCUUCGAAAGCUUGUAGAGUUUUAUUGUUUAGGGUUCCAUGUAUUGCUCCUUGUUGCACAGAGUGUGUAAAGUUUCAAUCACAUAAUAAGCUGAUAGUUAAACAGAUGCUUGCCGUACACAGAAAAUUAAUCAGUGUCACUACUAGUUGGUACUUGGUAGUUGGUAGUGGCUUAGGUAGCACGGUUUCUUUCCAGCACUCUGCCUCGGGUUUCUUCAUGACACUUGAUCUGAUGCAUAAAUAGUUAUGUUUUCUGUUGUACAUGCAUCAAGGAAACCUUAUGAUGUUCAGAGUUCAUAAUUUUUGGUGAUUUCCAGUCGCAAUACAUUAUUAAACAAUGCUUCUCCUACUGAUUCUCUAGUAAAGAUCUCACUUUCUACUCUUUUAACACUUAUGUUUUCUCAACAUAUGUUGCUAUCUUCCAUCUCCGCAGUUGCUCUUUUCUCGCUUCUGGUUCUCCAAAAAAAUAUAUAUUCUGUAUUAAGAGUAUUCUCCAAUUAGUUCGACUAGGCACUCAUACGACCAAAUGUUUUAAUCUCACUUAUCUGUUUUCAUCUUUCUGAUUUUCUUUUUAGUAUCUAUAACUUGAGUUGUGAUAAUAUUGUUCCUUUUCUUAUCAAUUGAGUCCCAGUCUACCAGAUCCAAAAUGAAUUUUGUAUUAGGCACUUUGUUUCCGGCACUUUUGUGAAGGUAGUAAUUUCAUAUUCUAUUCCAAGUGGAUACCAUGAAAUAUUGUUGUAAAAUCUGUGUGUAUCUUCCUGGAAGCUGCAGUUUGCAAGCUUGUCAUAUUUUAAAUUCUUCAUCAAAUCAGAUUUUGUCCGUGUGCAUUGCCAUUUGCCAGGUAGCCGGUGAAGCUCGAGGACGAACGCUAAGCUGGUGGACGUGCUAUAAAGGGGCAGAUAAACCACUGGGUACGUUAUAAACUAUAACAACCAGUACUAAUUAAAUGAUCUGACAGUAACAAGGGC